UACGUAGGGGGCAAGCGUUGUCCGGAUUUAUUGGGCGUAAAGAGCUCGUAGGCGGUCUGUCGCGUCGGAUGUGAAAACCCAGGGCUCAACCCUGGGCCUGCAUUCGAUACGGGCAGACUAGAGUGUGGCAGGGGAGACUGGAAUUCCUGGUGUAGCGGUGAAAUGCGCAGAUAUCAGGAGGAACACCGGUGGCGAAGGCGGGUCUCUGGGCCAAUACUGACGCUGAGGAGCGAAAGCGUGGGGAGCGAACAGG
rnacentral:rRNA from 1 species